AACGAACGCUGGCGGCAUGCCUAACACAUGCAAGUCGAACGAGACCUUCGGGUCUAGUGGCGCACGGGUGCGUAACGCGUGGGAAUCUGCCCUUCGGUUGGGAAUAACUGAGAGAAAUUUCAGCUAAUACCUUAUAAUGUCUUCGGACCAAAGAUUUAUCGCCGAGGGAUGAGCCCGCGUAGGAUUAGGUAGUUGGUGGGGUAAUGGCCUACCAAGCCGACGAUCCUUAGCUGGUCUGAGAGGAUGAUCAGCCACACUGGGACUGAGACACGGCCCAGACUCCUACGGGAGGCAGCAGUGGGGAAUAUUGGACAAUGGGCGAAAGCCUGAUCCAGCAAUGCCGCGUGAGUGAUGAAGGCCUUAGGGUUGUAAAGCUCUUUUACCCGGGAUGAUAAUGACAGUACCGGGAGAAUAAGCUCCGGCUAACUCCGCG
rnacentral:rRNA from 1 species